UACGGAGGGUGCAAGCGUUAUCCGGAUUCACUGGGUUUAAAGGGUGCGUAGGAGGGCAGGUAAGUCAGUGGUGAAAUCUCCGAGCUUAACUUGGAAACUGCCGGUGAUACUAUCUGUCUUGAAUAUUGUGGAGGUGAGCGGAAUAUGUCAUGUAGCGGUGAAAUGCUUAGAUAUGACAUAGAACACCAAUUGCGAAGGCAGCUCGCUACACAUAUAUUGACUCUGAGGCACGAAAGCGUGGGGAUCAAAACAGG
rnacentral:rRNA from 1 species